rnacentral:rRNA from 1 species
UCCAAUCGAACCCGGAGAUAGCUGGUUCUCCUCGAAAUAGUUUUAGGACUAGCCUCGUUAUUAGUCUACCGGAGGUAGAGCACUGAAUUUUUGCGGGGGCGUCAAAGCCUACCAAGAGAUAUCAAACUCCGAAUGCCGGCUAGAUGAUUGACGGGAGUCAGACUACACGAGAUAAGUUGGGUAGUCAAAAGGGAAAGAGCCCAGACCUACGGCUAAGGUCCCAAAGUGUGUGUUAAGUGGAAAAGGAUGUGGGAUUUCGAAGACAGCUAGGAUGUUGGCUUAGAAGCAGCCAUACAUUAAAAGAGUGCGUAACAGCUCACUAGUCGAGAGGUCCUGCGCCGAAAAUGUCCGGGGCUAAACACAACACCGAAGCCUAGGAAUGUAUAUUAUACAUUGGUAGAGGAGCAUUCUUAGAGGCGUAGAAGCCAUACCGGAAGGAAUGGUGGAGUAAUAAGAAGAGAGAAUGCCGGAAUGAGUAGCGAGAAAGAGGUGAGAAUCCUCUUGGCCGAAUAUCUAAGGUUUCCUGAGUAAAGCUGAUCUACUCAGGGUAAGUCGGGGCCUAAGGCAAGGUCGAAAGACGUAGUCGAUGGAUAACAGGUACAGAUUCCUGUACUACAUAUAAUCAGAACUGUGGGGACACGGAGACUGAAAACCGAACCCGGGAGGACAAAAACCGGGGCAAGCGAAGUACCUGUAUGGGAGGAAAAACCACCAUGCAAAGGGAAAACGUGAUGCGUACCGAAAUUUAGUAGGGAAGUCGGUUAGGGAGCCGUCAAGAAAAGCCGCUAUUGUGUUAUAUGUACCCGUACCGCAAACCGACACAGGUAGAUGAGGAGAGAAUCCUAAGGCCGGCGGGAGAAGCAUUGUUAAGGAACUCGGCAAAAUGACCCCGUAACUUCGGGAGAAGGGGUGCCACUAGAAAUAGUGGUCGCAGAAAAAAGGCUCAAGCAACUGUUUAGCAAAAACACAGGUCUAUGCGAAACCGCAAGGUGAAGUAUAUGGGCUGACGCCUGCCCGGUGCCGGAAGGUUAAGAGGAGAAGUCAGGAAACGAAGCUUUGAAUUGAAGCCCCGGUAAACGGCGGCCGUAACUAUAACGGUCCUAAGGUAGCGAAAUUCCUUGUCGGGUAAGUUCCGACCCGCACGAAAGGCGUAAUGAUUUGAGCGCUGUCUCAACAAUGCACCCGGUGAAAUUGAAGUACCAGUGAAGAUGCUGGUUACCCGCGCCAGGACGGAAAGACCCCAUGGAGCUUUACUCCAGUUUGGUACUGGGAUUCGGUAAUACUCGUACAGGAUAGGUGGGAGACGUAGAAGCAUGGACGCCAGUUUAUGCAGAGUCGCCGUUGGGAUACCACCCCUGUAUUGCUGGAUUUCUAACCUGCGGCCGUAAUCCGGCCGGGGGACAAUGCCAGACGGGGAGUUUGACUGGGGCGGUCGCCUCCGAAAGAGUAUCGGAGGCGCUCGAAGGUUCCCU